UUUUCCUACUGUAGAUCCAUUUUAUCAUCGAGGAUUGCUUCAAAUCGAAAUGAAAUGAAUCGUAUAAAGGUAAUGAAAAUGACUGUUGAGAAUCUCCUCAGAUCGUACUCUACGACUCUUUUAACACCUAAUUCACUUACCUCCUUAUAAAAAAAAGACUUCUAACACCAAAAAAAAAAAAAAAACCUUCACCCCAAUGAGAGAAAUGCAUACAAAGAAAAUAGUAAAAGGAUAUUAUUCAAAAAUUCAUCUCUUCCAUUAUAAAUUCAUUUGGCUUUAUGCAUAUCUAUAUGGAUGAACGAUCUAUAUCCA
rnacentral:lncRNA from 1 species